rnacentral:pre_miRNA from 9 species
UCUCGAUAGCGUAAAAGUUAACUCACAUCUGUUAGGAGUUGGAACGUUUGCCUACGUUUGCCGCUGGAAGCGCUGUUCCAAAUGCAUACAAAUCUGAGUUAACUUUUACGCUAUCGA